CCCGAUGUGUUUUGUAUUUUGGAUACAUGUGUUUUCUAAAUGGCACCCUGAGAUUUCAUUUUUGAACAAAGUGUCUUAUGUAUGAAAUAGAGUGUAGUAUGCAGGACCAAGUGUGUUGCAUAAAGGAGUAAAUGUGUUGCAGAAUUGCAACUAGAGUGCAAAGCAGCGCUUUUGUUUAAGUUAUGGGUACAUGUGUUUGAGGUAUGGUAACAAAAGCUUCAAGUUGUGUUACUUUAGUCUAAGCAUGGGUCUAUAGUGUUCAAGCAACGGGCAAAAACUGUAAAUACAGGAUCACUUCAUUUGCAUAUUGAUCAGAUGCUUCAGUGCUCUGAGAGUGUUUAUAGUGCUGUGAGUUUAACACUUCAUCACUGACACACACAACAAUCUUCAUCAACAUGACCUUCAUCAUCAUCUUCAUCUGGACUCUCACAGCGUUUGCUCAAGAGUGUAGAGGACAGAUCACCGUCACUCAGAGUCCCUCAACGACAGCAGCUCGACCAGAAGAAACAGUCAAAAUCAGCUGUAGAACCAGCACAGAUGUGUACAGGGAUAGUGAUGGGGAUGAAGAUUUAUACUGGUAUCUACAGAAAACCGAAGAAGCUCCUAAACUCCUGAUUUAUUUUGCAAAAAAACUCUACACUGGAACUCCAUCUAGAUUCAGUGGCAGUGGAUCUAACAGUGAUUUCACUCUGACCAUCAGUGGAGUCCAGACUGAAGAUGCUGGACAUUAUUACUGUCAGAGUUUUCAUUGCAGAACAGAUUCUGAUGGUGAUUGUGUGGGUGAUUAUGUGUUCACACAGUGAUAAAGAGUCGUACAAAAACCUCCGUCAGUCAGAGUCACAGAGACUGAACUGAUCCUGCAGCUGCUCAAACACUAUCACUCACUACUGACACACAGAGACAAACACAGCAACUACACAUGAGCUCAGAACUGAGUUAGGAGUGUCCAGUGUUCACAAUUCAUCAUCAUCAUCGUCACCA